rnacentral:rRNA from 1 species
UACAGAGGGUGCAAGCGUUAAUCGGAAUUACUGGGCGUAAAGCGUGCGUAGACGGUUAUGUAAGUCGGGUGUGAAAGCCCCGGGCUCAACCUGGGAAUUGCAUUCGAGACUGCGUAGCUAGGGUGCGGAAGAGGGAAGCGGAAUUUCCGGUGUAGCGGUGAAAUGCGUAGAUAUCGGAAGGAACACCAGUGGCGAAAGCGGCUUCCUGGUCCAGCACCGACGUUCAGGCACGAAAGCGUGGGGAGCAAACAGG